ACGCGUUGGGAGCUCUCCCAUAUGGUCGACCUGCAGGCGGCCGCGAAUUCACUAGUGAUUCGUAUUACCGCGGCUGCUGGCACGUAGUUAGCCGGUGCUUAUUCUUACGGUACCGUCAUGGACCCCAGGUAUUAACCAGAGUCUUUUCGUUCCGUACAAAAGCAGUUUACAACCCGAAGGCCUUCAUCCUGCACGCGGCAUGGCUGGAUCAGGCUUUCGCCCAUUGUCCAAAAUUCCCCACUGCUGCCUCCCGUAGGAGUCUGGGCCGUGUCUCAGUCCCAGUGUGGCUGGUCGUCCUCUCAGACCAGCUACAGAUCGUCGGCUUGGUAAGCUUUUAUCCCACCAACUACCUAAUCUGCCAUCGGCCGCUCCGUUCGCGCAAGGCCUUGCGGUCCCCUGCUUUCAUCCGUAGAUCUUAUGCGGUAUUAGCAAAGCUUUCGCUUCGUUAUCCCCCACGAUCGGGCACGUUCCGAUGUAUUACUCACCCGUUCGCCACUCGUCAGCAUCCGAAGACCUGUUACCGUUCGACUUGCAUGUGUUAAGCCUGCCGCCAGCGUUCAAUCUGAGCCAUGAUCAAACUCUAAUCGAAUUCCCGCGGCCGCCAUGGC
rnacentral:rRNA from 1 species